rnacentral:rRNA from 1 species
GGGGGCGUGCUUACACAUGCAGUCGACAGAUGAACCCACUUCGGUGGGGGAUUAGUGGCGAACGGGUGAGUAACACGUGGGCAAUCUGCCCUGCACUCUGGGACAAGCCCUGGAAACGGGGUCUAAUACCGGAUACGACCACUUCAGGCAUCUGAUGGUGGUGGAAAGCUCCGGCGGUGCAGGAUGAGCCCGCGGCCUAUCAGCUUGUUGGUGAGGUAACGGCUCACCAAGGCGACGACGGGUAGCCGGCCUGAGAGGGCGACCGGCCACACUGGGACUGAGACACGGCCCAGACUCCUACGGGAGGCAGCAGUGGGGAAUAUUGCACAAUGGGCGAAAGCCUGAUGCAGCGACGCCGCGUGAGGGAUGACGGCCUUCGGGUUGUAAACCUCUUUCAGCAGGGAAGAAGCGAAAGUGACGGUACCUGCAGAAGAAGCGCCGGCUAACUACGUGCCAGCAGCCGCGGUAAUACGUAGGGCGCAAGCGUUGUCCGGAAUUAUUGGGCGUAAAGAGCUCGUAGGCGGCUUGUCGCGUCGGAUGUGAAAGCCCGGGGCUUAACCCCGGGUCUGCAUUCGAUACGGGCAGGCUAGAGUUCGGUAGGGGAGAUCGGAAUUCCUGGUGUAGCGGUGAAAUGCGCAGAUAUCAGGAGGAACACCGGUGGCGAAGGCGGAUCUCUGGGGCGAUACUGACGCUGAGGAGCGAAAGCGUGGGGAGCGAACAGGAUUAGAUACCCUGGUAGUCCACGCCGUAAACGUUGGGAACUAGGUGUGGGCGACAUUCCACGUCCCGUGCCGCACUAACGCAUUAAUUCCCCCUGGGGAGUACGCCGCAAGGCUAAACUCAAAGAAUUGACGGGGGCCGCACAAGCGGCGGACAUGGGCUUAUUCACCAACCAAAACCU